rnacentral:rRNA from 1 species
AUUGAACGCUGGCGGCAGGCCUAACACAUGCAAGUCGAGCGAGCGGCGGACGGGUGAGUAAUGUCUGGGAAACUGCUUGAUGGAGGGGGAUAACUACUGGAAACGGUAGCUAAUACCGCAUACCAUCAGAUGUGCCCAGAUGGGAUUAGCUAGUCGGUGGGGUAACGGCUCACCUAGGCUCCGAUCCCUAGCUGGUCUGAGAGGAUGACCAGCCACACUUCAACUGAGACACGGCCCAGGAUCCUAGGGGAGGCAGCAGUGGGGAAUAUUGCGCAAUGGGCGCAAGCCUGAUGCAGCCAUGCCGCGUGUGUGAAGAAGGCCUUCGGGUUGUAAAGCACUUUCAGCGGGGAGGCGGUACCCGCAGAAGAAGCACCGGGUAAAGAAGUGCCAGCAGCCGCGGUAAUAC